rnacentral:rRNA from 1 species
CACGUAGGGGGGCGAGCGUUGUCCGGAUUUAUUGGGCGUAAAGAGCUCGUAGGUGGCUCGGUAAGUCGGGUGUGAAAUUUCGAGGCUCAACCUCGAAACGCCACCUGAUACUGCUGUGGCUAGAGUCCGGUAGGGGAGCGUGGAAUUCCUGGUGUAGCGGUGAAAUGCGCAGAUAUCAGGAGGAACACCAGCGGCGAAGGCGGCGCUCUGGGCCGGUACUGACACUGAGGAGCGAAAGCGUGGGGAUCAAACAGG